UUUACCCCACAGAGAUGAAGCUGAUGAAUUUGUUGAAAUUGGUGCCCUUAAUGGCAUCUUUGUCUUGGGACGCAGCAUGGGAUUCAUUGGACACUACCUCGAUCAGAAGAGGCUGAAGCAGGGUCUGUAUCGCCACCCCUGGGAUGAUAUCUCCUAUGUAUUGCCUGAGCAUAUGUCUAUGUAAUCAAAGACACUAAGCUGCUACCAGAGUUGGGUAGAGUACC